CUUAUUAUGGCAGUAACCUGGAACAGUUGAUGCACCAAUAGAUGUACUUUUAAAUUUAAUAUGCACAUGCCCAGUUUGCUGCUUAUCUGACUAGAUGGGACAAUACCCCUAAUGCGCCUUGAAAUGAGGAACACAAAAGUCACGUGUAAACAAAAAAUCUCUGUGUAGUGAUAUUUGACACAUUUCUAUGAUAAACAAAUAACUGAGCUGAACCAUUAGUGUUAAUUUAGAAAAUAAGGGAACACAGAAUAAAUGUGUAAAAACCAUGGAGCUAUGAAAUGUGUUCAAAGUAUUAAAAUUUCAAAGAACUUAUUGUGUUAAAAUUGGGAUUUUUUACCAUGAGGAGCGACAUCGCAAAAGGAUACUCGGGGUUUGCUAAAUAACGGAAAAAUGAAUCACACUUCGUACCCCGAAAAUUUAACCACAUAUGUAAAAAUGUCUCAGCUUCGAAACAAGCCAUCAUACAUAUACAAGUUUACGAUAUGGGCUGAGCAACAGAAGAAAACGUUACCAUUACGGCCUAUGGAAUAACAAUUGCGCAUAUUGCCCCAUCUUGUGAGAAAGGAUCCAGAGAUGUCUUUAGCUAAUUUCACCUUGUACACCACAGAAAAUUGUUAAAAUGAUGUUCCAGACAUAUCAUUACUUUUAAAUAUGAGAUGACAAACUAAAGGUUUUAAAAAGUCCUGAAUAACUGAAAUGGACAAAAAUACACAGAUUUAUUCAGAAUGUCAUACUGAUGAAGAUCACCUAAAAAUAUUUGGAAAAAUCAGAACUAUGGAUUUCAAUAUGGGACAAUACCCCUAAUGAGCCUUGAAAUGAGGAACACAAAAGUCACAUGUAAACAAAAAAUCUCUGUGUAGUGAUAUUUGACACAUUUCUAUGAUAAACAAAUAACUGAGCUGAACCAUUAGUGUUAAUUUAGAAAAUAAGGGAACACAGAAUAAAUGUGUAAAAACCAUGGAGCUAUGAAAUGUGUUCAAAGUAUUAAAAUUUCAAAGAACUUAUUGUGUUAAAAUUGGGAUUUUUUACCAUGAGGAGCGACAUCGCAAAAGGAUACUCAGGGUUUGCUAAAUUACGGAAAAAUGAAUCACACUUCGUACCCCGAAAAUUUAACCACAUAUGUAAAAAUGUCUCAGCUUCGAAACAAGCCAUCAUACAUAUACAAGUUUACGAUAUGGGCUGAGCAACAGAAGAAAAUGUUACCAUUACGGCCUAUGGAAUAACAAUUGCGCAUA